UGUAAACCGCUUUCGCCUGUGACGAAGCGUGAGUGACGGUAAUGGGUAAAGAAGCACCGGCUAACUACGUGCCAGCAGCCGCGGUGAUACGUAGGGUGCGAGCGUUGUCCGGAUUUAUUGGGCGUAAAGGGCUCGUAGGUGGUUGAUCGCGUCGGAAGUGUAAACUUGGGGCUCAACCCCGAGCGUGCCUUCGAUACGGGCUGACUUGAGGAAGGUAGGGCAGAGAUGGAAUUCCUGGUGGAGCGGUGGAAUGCGCAGAUAUCAGGAGGAACACCAGUGGCGAAGGCGGUUCUUUGGGCCUUUCCUGACGCUGAGGAGCGAAAGCGUGGGGAGCGAACAGGCUUAGAUACCCUGGUAGUCCACGCUGUAAACGGUGGGUACUAGGUGUGGGGUCCAUUCCACGGGUUCCGUGCCGUAGCUAACGCUUUAAGUACCCCGCCUGGGGAGUACGGCCGCAAGGCUAAAACUCAAAGGAAUUGACGGGGCCCCGCACAAGCGGCGGAGCAUGCGGAUUAAUUCGAUGCAACGCGUAGAACCUUACCUGGGUUUGACAUGGAUCGGGAGUGCUCAGAGAUGGGUGUGCCUCUUUUGGGGUCGGUUCACAGGUGGUGCAUGGCUGUCGUCAGCUCGUGUCGUGAGAUGUUGGGUUAAGUCCCGCAACGAGCGCAACCCUUGUUCACUGUUGCCAGCACGUUAUGGUGGGGACUCAGUGGAGACCGCCGGGGUCAACUCGGAGGAAGGUGGGGAUGACGUCAAGUCAUCAUGCCCCUUAUGUCCAGGGCUUCACGCAUGCUACAAUGGCUGGUACAGAGAGUGGCGAGCCUGUGAGGGUGAGCGAAUCUCGGAAAGCCGGUCUCAGUUCGGAUUGGGGUCUGCAACUCGACCUCAUGAAGUCGGAGU
rnacentral:rRNA from 1 species